rnacentral:lncRNA from 1 species
GGGGACUCUCCUGGCUGGCAUGGCACACACACAGGCUAAUCAGGAAUCUCUAGAUAACAUCCACCCACGAUGGAGACCUGGACACUGAUACCUUUUUUCCUGUUUAACCCUCUGAGUUGCCUAAAGAGGGUUUGGUAGAAACUAGAUUCCUGGACAGCCUUCCCCCGGAGCUUGUCCCUACUGAGUCUCUCUCGGAAUUUGUUGAACACCUC